rnacentral:rRNA from 1 species
UACGAAGGGGGCUAGCGUUGCUCGGAAUCACUGGGCGUAAAGGGCGCGUAGGCGGCGUUUUUAAGUCGGGGGUGAAAGCCUGUGGCUCAACCACAGAAUGGCCUUCGAUACUGGGACGCUUGAGUAUGGUAGAGGUUGGUGGAACUGCGAGUGUAGAGGUGAAAUUCGUAGAUAUUCGCAAGAACACCGGUGGCGAAGGCGGCCAACUGGACCAUUACUGACGCUGAGGCGCGAAAGCGUGGGGAGCAAACAGG